GACGAACGCUGGCGGCGUGCCUAAUACAUGCAAGUUGAGCGCUGAAGGUUGGUACUUGUACCAACUGGAUGAGCAGCGAACGGGUGAGUAACGCGUGGGGAAUCUGCCUUUGAGCGGGGGACAACAUUUGGAAACGAAUGCUAAUACCGCAUAAAAACUUUAAACACAAGUUUUAAGUUUGAAAGAUGCAAUUGCAUCACUCAAAGAUGAUCCCGCGUUGUAUUAGCUAGUUGGUGGGGUAAAGGCUCACCAAGGCGAUGAUACAUAGCCGACCUGAGAGGGUGAUCGGCCACAUUGGGACUGGGACACGGCCCAAACUCCUACGGGAGGCAGCAGUAGGGAAUCUUCGGCAAUGGACGAAAGUCUGACCGGGCAACGCCGCGUGAGUGAAGAAGGUUUUCGGAUCGUAAAACUCUGUUGGUAGAGAAGAACGUUGGUGAGAGUGGAAAGCUCAUCAAGUGACGGUAACUACCCAGAAAGGGACGGCUAACUACGUG
rnacentral:rRNA from 1 species